rnacentral:rRNA from 1 species
UACGUAGGAUGCAAGCGUUGUCCGGAAUCACUGGGCGUAAAGGGUCCGUAGGCGGUUUGUCAAGUCUCCUGUGAAAUUUCAGGGCUCAACCCUGAGAGGUCGGGGGAUACUGACAGACUUGAGACUGUUAGAGGCAGGUGGAAUUCCCGGUGUAGUGGUGAAAUGCGUAGAUAUCGGGAGGAACACCAGUGGCGAAAGCGGCCUGCUGGGACAGUUCUGACGCUGAGGGACGAAAGCGUGGGUAGCAAACCGG